rnacentral:rRNA from 1 species
UACAGAGGUCUCAAGCGUUAAUCGGAGUUACUGGGCUUAAAGGGUGCGUAGGCGGACUCGCAAGUGCUUCGUGAAAUCCCACGGCUCAACCGUGGAAUUGCUUGGCAGACUGCGGGUCUUGAGGUUGGUAGGGGUCGCCGGAACUCUAGGUGGAGCGGUGAAAUGCGUAGAUAUCUAGAGGAACGCCAAAGGUGAAGACAGGCGACUGGGCCAAAUCUGACGCUGAGGCACGAAAGCGUGGGGAGCGAACGGG